AUAUGCCAUCCGAUGAACAGUAGCCGGAGCAUGCUUUUGCAGGCAUCGGCGCAAGAGAAAGGGAAAACCACUCGACCGGAGCUGUGCGCAUGAGACCGUUCCGAAGCAGCGAAAGCUGUCUGGGCGAAAGCCAGCCAUUGCAGAGCAAUCUGUGAGAAGGCAGGAAACGGGCGUGGAGACCCAUGGGGCCUCCGGAAUGCAAGUCAGAAGAACUGCUGUCAGCACCGCGGAAAC
rnacentral:ncRNA from 1 species